GCCUACGGGGGGCAGCAGUGAGGAAUAUUGGUCAAUGGCCGAGAGGCUGAACCAGCCAAGUCGCGUGAGGGAUGACGGCCCUACGGGUUGUAAACCUCUUUUGCCGGGGAGCAAAGAGCGGGACGCGUCCCGCCUCGAGAGUACCCGAAGAAAAAGCAUCGGCUAACUCCGUGCCAGCAGCCGCGGUAAUACGGAGGAUGCGAGCGUUAUCCGGAUUUAUUGGGUUUAAAGGGUGCGCAGGCGGUCUGUUAAGUCAGCGGUCAAAGCCCGGGGCUCAACCCCGGCCCGCCGUUGAA
rnacentral:rRNA from 1 species